ACAUCCAAACUGGACGCACUCUC
rnacentral:miRNA from 1 species